AGUGAAUAGAUACCCCGGUAGUCCCAGCUGUAAACGAUGCGCGUUAGGUGUAUCGGUGACCACGAGUCACCGAGGUGCCGAAAGGGAAACCGUGAAACGUGCCGCCUGGGAAGUACGGUCGCAAGGCUGAAACUUAAAGGAAUUGGCGGGGGAGCACCACAACAGGUGGAGCCUGCGGUUUAAAUCGGACCCAACGCCGGGAAGCUCACCGGAUAAGACAGCUGAAUGAUAGCCGGGUUGAAGACUCUGCUUGACUAGCUGAGAGGAGGUGCAUGGCCGUCGUCAGUUCGUACUGUGAAGCAUCCUGUUAAGUCAGGCAACGAGCGAGACCCACGCCAACAGUUGCCAGCAUGUCCUCCGGGAUGGUGGGGACACUGUUGGGACCGCCUCUGCUAAAGAGGAGGAAGGAAUGGGCAACGGUAGGUCAGCAUGCCCCGAAUUAUCCGGGCUACACGCGGGCUACAAUGGUCAGGACAAUGGGUAUCAACACCGAAAGGUGAAGGCAAUCUCCUAAA
rnacentral:rRNA from 1 species